ACGGGGCGCAGCAGGCGCGAAAACUUAGGCAAUGCGAGAAAUCGUGACCAGGGAACUCCAAGUGCAUCGGGUAAGACCGAUGCUUUUCUUGACUCUUCAAAGGUCUUGGAAUAAGGGGUGGGUAAGGACGGUGCCAGCCGCCGCGGUAAUACCGGCGCCUCAAGUGGUAGUCGCUUUUAUUGGGCCUAAAACGUCCGUAGCCGGUUUGGUACAUUCGUGGGUAAAUCAAGGCGCUCAACGUCUUGAAUUCUGCGAGCACGGCCAGACUUGGGACCGGGUGAGGUGUGGGGUACUCUCAGGGUAGGGGUAAAAUCCUGUCAUCCUGAGAGGACCACCUGUUGCGAAGGCGCCACACUAGAACGGAUCCGACGGUCAGGGACGAAGCCUAGGGGCACGAACCGGAUUAGAUACCCGGGUAGUCCUAGGUGUAAACGCUGUGGACUUGAUGUUGGGGGUGCUCCGAGCACCCUCAGUGUCGAAGCGAAGGUGAUAAGUCCACUGCCUGGGAGAGACGGCCGCAGGGUUAAAAUUUAAAGGAAGUUGGCGGGGGAGCAC
rnacentral:rRNA from 1 species